rnacentral:rRNA from 1 species
GAAGUUUUCAGAGAUGAGAAUGUGCCUUCGGGAACCGUGAGACAGGUGCUGCAUGGCUGUCGUCAGCUCGUGUUGUGAAAUGUUGGGUUAAGUCCCGCAACGAGCGCAACCCUUAUCCUUUGUUGCCAGCGAUUAGGUCGGGAACUCAAAGGAGACUGCCAGUGAUAAACUGGAGGAAGGUGGGGAUGACGUCAAGUCAUCAUGGCCCUUACGACCAGGGCUACACACGUGCUACAAUGGCGCAUACAAAGAGAAGCGACCUCGCGAGAGCAAGCGGACCUCAUAAAGUGCGUCGUAGUCCGGAUUGGAGUCUGCAACUCGACUCCAUGAAGUCGGAAUCGCUAGUAAUCGUGGAUCAGAAUGCCACGGUGAAUACGUUCCCGGGCCUUGUACACACCGCCCGUCACACCAUGGGAGUGGGUUGCAAAAGAAGUAGGUAGCUUAACCUUCGGGAGGGCACUUACCACUUUGUGAUUCAUGACUGGGGUGAAGUCGUAACAAGGUAACCGUAGGGGAACCUGCGGUUGGAUCACCUCCUUACCUGAAAGAA